rnacentral:tRNA from 1 species
UGGGAAGUGGCUCAGCUGGCAGAGCUCAAGACUUGCAUGCUUGAGGCUCCAGCUCUGUACUCACUGCAGCGGCGGUCUGGCUUCUCAC